rnacentral:rRNA from 1 species
GAUGAACGCUGGCGGCGUGCCUAGUACAUGCAAGUCGAGCGAACAGACGAGGAGCUUGCUCCUCUGACGUUAGCGGCGGACGGGUGAGUAACACGUGGAUAACCUACCUAUAAGACUGGGAUAACUUCGGGAAACCGGAGCUAAUACCGGAUAAUAUAUUGAACCGCAUGGUUCAAUAGUGAAAGACGGUUUUGCUGUCACUUAUAGAUGGAUCCGCGCCGCAUUAGCUAGUUGGUAAGGUAACGGCUUACCAAGGCAACGAUGCGUAGCCGACCUGAGAGGGUGAUCGGCCACACUGGAACUGAGACACGGUACAGACUCCUACGGGAGGCAGCAGUAGGGAAUCUUCCGCAAUGGGCGAAAGCCUGACGGAGCAACGCCGCGUGAGUGAUGAAGGUCUUCGGAUCGUAAAACUCUGUUAUUAGGGAAGAACAAAUGUGUAAGUAACUAUGCACGUCUUGACGGUACCUAAUCAGAAAGCCACGGCUAACUACGUG